rnacentral:rRNA from 1 species
GACAGAGGAUGCAAGCGUUAUCCGGAAUGAUUGGGCGUACAGCGUCCGCAGGUGGCUAUGUAAGUCUGCUGUUAAAGAGUGAGGCUCAACCUCAUAAAAGCAGUGGAAACUACAUGGCUAGAGUGCGUUCGGGGCAGAGGGAAUUCCUGGUGUAGCGGUGAAAUGCGUAGAGAUCAGGAAGAACACCGGUGGCGAAAGCGCUCUGCUAGGCCGCAACUGACACUGAGGGACGAAAGCUAGGGGAGCGAAUGGG